UGAGGUUACACUACUAGACUACAGUGAGGUUACACUACUAGACUACAGUGAGGUUACACCACCAGACUACAGUGAGGUUACACCACCAGACUACAGUGAGGUUACACUACAGUGAGGUUACACCACUAGACUACAGUGAGGUUACACUACUAGACUACAGUGAGGUUACACUACUAGGCUACAGUAAGGUUACACUACCAGACUACA